rnacentral:rRNA from 1 species
CAGUCGCCACGGGAAUACGAAGGGGGCUAGCGUUGCUCGGAAUUACUGGGCGUAAAGGGCGCGUAGGCGGACAGUUCAGUCGGGGGUGAAAGCCCGGGGCUCAACCUCGGAAUUGCCUUCGAUACUGGCUGUCUUGAGUAUGAGAGAGGUGUGUGGAACUCCGAGUGUAGAGGUGAAAUUCGUAGAUAUUCGGAAGAACACCAGUGGCGAAGGCGACACACUGGCUCAUUACUGACGCUGAGGCGCGAAAGCGUGGGGAGCAAACAGGAUUAGAUACCCCCGUAGUCCCUGUCUCUUAUAC